rnacentral:rRNA from 1 species
UGGGGAAUUUUGGACAAUGGGCGAAAGCCUGAUCCAGCAAUGCCGCGUGUGUGAAGAAGGCCUUCGGGUUGUAAAGCACUUUUUGUCCGGAAAGAAAUCCUUGGCUCUAAUACAGUCGGGGGAUGACGGUACCGGAAGAAUAAGCACCGGCUAACUACGUGCCAGCAGCCGCGGUAAUACGUAGGGUGCAAGCGUUAAUCGGAAUUACUGGGCGUAAAGCGUGCGCAGGCGGUUUGCUAAGACCGAUGUGAAAUCCCCGGGCUCAACCUGGGAACUGCAUUGGUGACUGGCAGGCUAGAGUAUGGCAGAGGGGGGUUAGAAUUCCACGUGUAGCAGUGAAAUGCGUAGAGAUGUGGAGGAAUACCGAUGGCGAAGGCAGCCCCCUGGGCCAAUACUGACGCUCAUGCACGAAAGCGU